rnacentral:misc_RNA from 1 species
CGUGCAGCGACGGCAUCUCGUGCAGGCUUUUUCAUUCWUUGGUUCGAGUGCGCUCUUGCCUCGGCCGUGCCUGGUUUUCUGUGCUGCAUACCUAUCGUGAAGGAAUUCGUUCGUUGAAAAAUUAUUCCAUCCAUCAAGAGCCUUCCUCCUUCGGGAAAGAGGAAUCUUGUGGAACCUAAAGCAGCAAAUUUGUCCCACGUCCCCCGCACUCGUUGUGCUGCGGACAGUGGAGCAUUCUUGCUCGCUGGAUCUUUUGGGUGCGGUAUACACAGUGGGUGAGAGGCCUCAGGCCUCAAUCGGUCCCAUAAUAAAAGAGCGUUCGACGCUUCAUGCGAACGACUGCCGCUGUCGUUUUGGCCCGCGCCCCCGAGGCUCGGGUCAUGCGGCAGCGGCGUCGGUGAGGAAUGC